ensembl:snoRNA SNORA54 small nucleolar RNA, H/ACA box 54
GAGCACUGUUCGUAACCUGUUGACCUGACUGUGGCUGACAGGUUCCAUUCCAGUGCAACAGCAUGUCCAGGGACACAUGACUGACUGGCUGAUGGCUUUCAGUUUCAGGUCUUGGAAACAAAU